AAAGUCGUAACAAGGUUUCCGUAGGUGAACCUGCGGAAGGAUCAUUAGAAAAUCCAGGAGUGUUCAACACUCUUGGGCACUUUUCUAACCACAUUGUUGACCCUUACCACUGUUGCUUUCACAGCAAUGCAAAUUUUUGUACUGCUGUGAAUAGAUCUUAUCUAUAACCUUUGUAAUUAGCUAUGUCUUUGUCUGAUAAUUAAAAAAGAAUGUUUUAAAACUUUCAACAACGGAUCUCUUGGCUCCU
rnacentral:misc_RNA from 1 species